CUCUCUGCAGUUCGUUUCUUAUGGUAAAACUUGGAAAAGAUGAACCCCCCUUCUGAAUCGUUGUGUGUCUAGUGCCCUUGUGUGAGACUGCAACCCUAGCGCAAAGGGCACCCGCCAAGCACCUUCUGGUCUUCUAACAGCUCUUAGUUAUCAUGGUGGAUAUUAUCUACUUGCAGUAAGCUUCAUUUGCGCGGAUGAAAUAGUUGUGUUUAGUAGCUAAAGCCUGUUUGGUAGGAGUCUUUGGAAGAAGCGUCACGUCUCGGCCUCUCUAAUAUCCUUUUGUGCGACUUGGAAACGGCAAGCAGCUUGACAGUGACGCGGGGAUUGGAUAACCUGCACGUAGAAGCGACCUGACUUCAGGAGGUCUGAGAACAACAGCGGAAGCCACUAUACCUAGAGACUUUUUUAGUCGAAAGGGGUAAAUAUUUUAGACAUUUGACAUUCGUCUUUCCAGGACCACACACCGACCCCCUUCCCUCCCCUCCUGUACGCUAGUUCUUGUGAAAGGAACAUUUA